GUGGAUGGUGAGGGCGGGACUAAGCAAGUUGCUACAGUAGGCCAUAAGAGGAGGAAAUCAGGGUGGAGGAAUUGUGUUCAGGUGUGUGAAACUGAAGGCUGAACUUCAAGAAGUCGUUGGUGCUGUCUGUUCCAGCCAGAGAUAAAAAGAAAUUCUCCCUGUUACUCCCCUUUGGUGGGAUAACUGGGGGUGAUAGCAGCCCAGCCUUCCUCCCCAGUGCUCCACCAGAAUAAGAACACCACCCAAGGAGUGCCGACUUUCUCCGCCAUAGCUGUGGACAGCCUGCAUCCAGGAGGGAAGAGAUUUUGACAUCAGUCAUUUAGAAGAAAAGCAACACUACAUCGGGUUCAUAUUCCUAUGCUUGGCUUGCUUUGACAGGAGGAUCAAGACUGACUGGUUCUUAUUUCCAAUGAGAACAAGAUUGUGAAUGGU
rnacentral:lncRNA from 1 species